GACGAACGCUGGCGGCGUGCUUAACACAUGCAAGUCGAACGGAAAGGCCCUGCUUUUGUGGGGUGCUCGAGUGGCGAACGGGUGAGUAACACGUGAGUAACCUGCCCUUGACUUUGGGAUAACUUCAGGAAACUGGGGCUAAUACCGGAUAGGAGCUCCUGCUGCAUGGUGGGGGUUGGAAAGUUUCGGCGGUUGGGGAUGGACUCGCGGCUUAUCAGCUUGUUGGUGGGGUAGUGGCUUACCAAGGCUUUGACGGGUAGCCGGCCUGAGAGGGUGACCGGCCACAAUGGGACUGAGGUACGGCCCAGACUCCUACGGGAGGCAACAGUGGGGAAUAUUGCACAAUGGGCGGAAGCCUGAUGCAGCAACGCCGCGUGCGGGAUGACGGCCUUCGGGUUGUAAACCGCUUUCGCCUGUGACGAAGCGUGAGUGACGGUAAUGGGUAAAGAAGCACCGGCUAACUACGUG
rnacentral:rRNA from 1 species